rnacentral:rRNA from 1 species
AGCAGCCGCGGUAAUUCCAGCUCCAAUAGCGUAUAUUAAAGUUGUUGCAGUUAAAAAGCUCGUAGUUGAAUUUCGGGAUCAAAUUGUCGGUCGUGCCUCGGUACGCACUGGCGUUAUUGGUUCCUCCCUUCUGAAGAACCGCGAUGUCAUUAAUUUGGUGUCGCGGGGAAUCAGGACUGUUACUUUGAAAAAAUUAGAGUGUUUAAAGCAAGCUCGCGCUUGAAUACAUUAGCAUGGAAUAAUGAAAUAGGACGUUUGAUUCUAUUUUGUUGGUUUCUAGGAUCGACGUAAUGAUUAAUAGGGAUAGUUGGGGGCAUUAGUAUUCAAUUGUCAGAGGUGAAAUUCUUGGAUUUAUUGAAGACUAACUACUGCGAAAGCAUUUGCCAAGGAUGUUUUCAUUAAUCAAGAACGAAAGUUAGGGGAUCGAAGACGAUCAGAUACCGUCGUAGUCUUAACCAUAAACUAUGCCGACUAGGGAUCGGAUGAUGUUAAUUUUUUAAUGACUCAUUCGGCGCCUUAC